AGAUUAAGUUAUUAAGGGCGCACGGUGGAUGCCUUGGCACUAGAAGCCGAUGAAGGACGUUACUAACGACGAUAUGCUUUGGGUAGCUGUAAGUAAGCGUUGAUCCAGAGAUUUCCGAAUGGGGGAACCCAGCAUGAGUUAUGUCAUGUUAUCGACAUGUGAAUUCAUAGCAUGUCAGAAGGCAGACCCGGAGAACUGAAACAUCUUAGUACCCGGAGGAAGAGAAAGAAAAAUCGAUUCCCUGAGUAGCGGCGAGCGAAACGGGAAGAGCCCAAACCAACAAGCUUGCUUGUUGGGGUUGUAGGACACUCUAUACGGAGUUACAAAAGAACAUGUUAGACGAAUCAUCUGGAAAGAUGAAUCAAAGAAGGUAAUAAUCCUGUAGUCGAAAACAUAUUCUCUCUUGAGUGGAUCCUGAGUACGACGGAGCACGUGAAAUUCCGUCGGAAUCUGGGAGGACCAUCUCCUAAGGCUAAAUACUCUCUAGUGACCGAUAGUGAACCAGUACCGUGAGGGAAAGGUGAAAAGUACCCCGGAAGGGGAGUGAAAGAGAACUUGAAACCGUGUGCUUACAAGUAGUCAGAGCCCGUUAAUGGGUGAUGGCGUGCCUUUUGUAGAAUGAACCGGCGAGUUACGAUCUGAUGCAAGGUUAAGCAGCAAAUGUGGAGCCGCAGCGAAAGCGAGUCUGAAUAGGGCGUUGAGUAUUUGGUCGUAGACCCGAAACCAGGUGAUCUACCCUUGGUCAGGUUGAAGUUCAGGUAACACUGAAUGGAGGACCGAACCGACUUACGUUGAAAAGUGAGCGGAUGAACUGAGGGUAGCGGAGAAAUUCCAAUCGAACUUGGAGAUAGCUGGUUCUCUCCGAAAUAGCUUUAGGGCUAGCCUCAAGUGAUGAUUAUUGGAGGUAGAGCACUGUUUGGACGAGGGGCCCCUCUCGGGUUACCGAAUUCAGACAAACUCCGAAUGCCAAUUAAUUUAACUUGGGAGUCAGAACAUGGGUGAUAAGGUCCGUGUUCGAAAGGGAAACAGCCCAGACCACCAGCUAAGGUCCCAAAAUAUA
rnacentral:rRNA from 1 species